rnacentral:rRNA from 1 species
CCUACGGGAGGCAGCAGUGAGGAAUAUUGGUCAAUGGGAGAGAUCCUGAACCAGCCAAGCCGCGUGAGGGAAGACGGCCCUAUGGGUUGUAAACCUCUUUUGUCGGAGAACAAAACGCGGGACGUGUCCCGGACUGCGUGUAUCCGAAGAAAAAGCAUCGGCUAACUCCGUGCCAGCAGCCGCGGUAAUACGGAGGAUGCGAGCGUUAUCCGGAUUUAUUGGGUUUAAAGGGUGCGUAGGCGGAAGGUUAAGUCAGCGGUAAAAUGUCGGUGCUCAACACCGGCCUGCCGUUGAAACUGGUCGUCUUGAGUGAGCGAGAAGUAUGCGGAAUGCGUGGUGUAGCGGUGAAAUGCAUAGAUAUCACGCAGAACUCCGAUUGCGAAGGCAGCAUACCGGCGCUCAACUGACGCUGAGGCACGAAAGCGUGGGGAUCGAACAGGAUUAGAUACCCCAGUAGUC